AAUAGAUACCCAGGUAGUCCACGCCGUAAACGAUGAAUACUAGGUGUAGGGGUUGUCAUGACCUCUGUGCCGCCGCUAACGCAUUAAGUAUUCCGCCUGGGGAGUACGGUCGCAAGAUUAAAACUCAAAGGAAUUGACGGGGGCCCGCACAAGCAGCGGAGCAUGUGGUUUAAUUCGAAGCAACGCGAAGAACCUUACCUAGACUUGACAUCUCCUGCAUUACCCUUAAUCGGGGAAGUUCCUUCGGGAACAGGAAGACAGGUGGUGCAUGGUUGUCGUCAGCUCGUGUCGUGAGAUGUUGGGUUAAGUCCCGCAACGAGCGCAACCCUUAUUGUUAGUUGCUACCAUUUAGUUGAGCACUCUAGCGAGACUGCCCGGGUUAACCGGGAGGAAGGUGGGGAUGACGUCAAAUCAUCAUGCCCUUAUGUCUAGGGCUACACACAUGCUACAAUGGCAAGUACAAAGAGAAGCAAGACCGCGAGGUGGAGCAAAACUCAAAAACUUGUCUCAGUUCGGAUUGUAGGCUGAAACUCGCCUAC
rnacentral:rRNA from 1 species